UGGCCUACCAAGACGAUGAUGUGUAGCUGGACUGAGAGGUUGAACAGCCACAUUGGGACUGAGACACGGCCCAAACUCCUACGGGAGGCAGCAGUAGGGAAUUUUCGGCAAUGGAGGAAACUCUGACCGAGCAACGCCGCGUGAAUGACGAAGUACUUCGGUAUGUAAAGUUCUUUUAUCAAGGAAGAAAAGCAAAUGGCGAACCAUUUGUUUGCCGGUACUUGAUGAAUAAGCCCCGGCUAAUUAUGUGCCAGCAGCCGCGGUAAGACAUAAGGGGCAAGUGUUAUCCGGAAUUAUUGGGCGUAAAGGGUGCGUAGGCGGUCUAGUAAGUCAGUGGUGUAAUGGCAACGCUUAACGUUGUCCGGCUAUUGAAACUGCUAAACUUGAGUUAGAUAGAGGCGAGUGGAAUUCCAUGUGUAGCGGUAAAAUGCGUAAAUAUAUGGAGGAACACCAGAGGCGUAGGCGGCUCGCUGGGUCUUAACUGACGCUGAGGCACGAAAGCGUGGGGAGCAAACAGGAUUAGAUACCCUGGUAGUCCACGCCGUAAACGAUGAGUACUAAGUGUCGGGUUAAACCGGUACUGAAGUUAACACAUUAAGUACUCCGCCUGAGUAGUACGUACGCAAGUAUGAAACUUAAAGGAAUUGACGGGACUCCGCACAAGCGGUGGAUCAUGUUGUUUAAUUCGAAGAUACCCGAAAAACCUUACCAGGUCUUGACAUGUUUUUGCAAAAUGAUAGUAAUAUCGUGGAGGUUACCAGAAACACAGGUGGUGCAUGGUUGUCGUCAGCUCGUGUCGUGAGAUGUUAGGUUAAGUCCUAAAACGAGCGAAACCCUUAUCGUUAGUUGCCAGCACGUUAUGGUGGGGACUUUAACGAGACUGCCAAUGAUAAAUUGGAGGAAGGUGAGGAUCACGUCAAAUCAGCAUGCCCCUUAUGACCUGGGCUACAAACGUGAUACAAUGGCUGUUACAAAGGGUAGCUGAAACGCAAGUUCUUGGCCAAUCCCCAAAAACAGUCCCAGUCCGGAUUGAAGUCUGCAACUCGACUUCAUGAAGUUGGAAUCGCUAGUAAUC
rnacentral:rRNA from 1 species